AAAUUUUCUACAUUCUUCUAAUGCUUCUGAAAUUGAAUAAAAUCCUUUGUAAAGAGGAUUUGGAAAAUUCUUAAUACAAUCUGAAACUUCUAACCAAGUAUGAUAAAUUCCUGGGAGUCUUCCAUUUAAAACAACAUAACAUUUAAAUUGUUUAUGAUCUUGACUAAAAAAUUCUGAAAGAGCAUUUAAACAUGCUAAAAAAUAUUUUUGGUCUUUUGGAUUCUUAUUAUAAGAAAUCCAUAAAUUAUCUAAAAUACAUUUUUCUGCCUUUGUUACUGAAAUAUGAGAAAGUGUCUUAAAACUAAUAUUACUAUUAGGAAAACAAAGUAGUUCUAUAUUACCGAAUCUUAACUUAUCAUGAGUCUGGAGUAUAUUUGUCUGAGAACUUGAACUGCCAACAAUUGGCAAUCCUGGUCUAGGACCUCUUGGUC
rnacentral:lncRNA from 1 species